UAAAAAGCAUCCUGUUAGCGAGUGGUUGUUGAAUUUGCAGAGAGAAAAUACAAAGCAACUGCCACGAUCAAGGUUUUUCUUUUAGCUGAUCGGAGUAUAAGAAAGUAAAAGGGAAGUACAGUAGAGUUCGGCGCACAAGGAGCUAGGAGUGCUUUAGCAAUGGAAAUAUAUUCUGGCAUGAAGAUUCUUGACGAUUUAGAUUUCAAAAGCUGGAUGGAUUGGAAACUAAAUAUGGAACUUGUCUUUGGUUUGAUGGAUUUAGACUUUGCCCUUCGUGAAGACGAACCCGAGAAGCCUACUGUCAAUAGCUCUUCUUCAGCCGUACGCAGUAUGAAAAAUGGGAGAGAAGUAAUCGAUUAAGCCUUCUAGUGAUGAGAAAGAAAAUGCAUGAUGGUCUAUAUGCACUUGUUCCUGUGACAGACUAUGGUAAUAAUGCUAAACAAUUUUUUGCUGCCCUUGAGAACUUAUUUCUGAAAAUUGAGAGUGCUAAGCUCUGCGAAAUGACUGAAGAUUUAAUAAGGAAAUAUGAUGGCGAAGGGAUUGAAUAUGACGGUGAAGGGAGCUAGUCCAACCGGAUUCUAAGAUUAUCCAGUUUUGGCUAUAGGUUGAGAAAUGAAGGUGCACUGAUUUUUUGAGGAACUGAUUGUUAAAUCAGUGAUUGAUUCUCUUCCUACAGAAAAGUUUAUGAAUCUCCGGACUAUAGUCUCUCCAAGGAGAAAUGGGGAUUGGUUGACUUAAUAUGUAAGUGUGGAGAAGUAGAGAGUAUGCACCGGAUGAUGAAUAGAGAUGAUUCAGCUUCUUGUGGUAGAGAAUAGAUGGGCAAUGAUCAGCCAGAAGAAAGGAUGAAUGGGAAAAGGGACUAUCGAUGCUUUAGUUGCGUAAAAACAGGACAUUUAAAGAGGGACUGUAAGCGGAUCAGCAACCGGUAAAUGUUUUUGAUGGAAGGUAGAGGCCCAAGUGGAUCUUUCAGGGAUGUGUUUGUGUAUGUAUAUAUAUUUAUGUUGAACAAAGUUAAAUAGAUAUGAUAAUCUACUUUAAUCCUAAUCUUCUUAUUUACUUUCUA